CCUACGGGAGGCAGCAGUGGGGAAUAUUGCUCAAUGUGGGAAACCCUGAAGCAGCAAAGCCGCGUGAGGGAAGAAGGUUUUCGGAUUGUAAACUCCUUUUGGUAGGGAAGAUAAUGACGGUAUCUAACGAAUAAGCACCGGCUAACUCCGUGCAAGCAGCCGCGGUAAUACGGGGGGGGCAAGCGUUACUCGGAAUCACUGGGCGUAAAGAGCGCGUAGGCGGGAUGUCAAGCGUGCUGGGAAAUGUCCGGGCCCAACCCGGGCCUUGCAGGGCGAACUGGCGUGCUUGAGUCCGCGGAAAGCAGGCGGAAUGCGUAGUGUAGCGGUGAAAUGCUUAGAUAUGACGAAGAACCCCGAUUGCGAAGGCAGCUUGCUGCAGCGGAACUGACGCUGAUGCUCGAAAGCGCGGGUAUCGAACAGGAUUAGAUACCCGAGUAGUC
rnacentral:rRNA from 1 species